rnacentral:rRNA from 1 species
UUGAACGCUGGCGGCAUGCUUUACCCAUGCCAGUCGAACGGCAGCGCGGGCUUCGGCCUGGCGGCGAGUGGCGAACGGGUGAGUAAUACAUCGGAACGUGCCCAGUAGUGGGGGAUAGCUCGGCGAAAGCCGGAUUAAUACCGCAUACGACCUGAGGGUGAAAGCGGGGGAUCUUCGGACCUCGCGCUAUUGGAGCGGCCGAUGGCAGAUUAGCUAGUUGGUGGGGUAAAGGCCUACCAAGGCGACGAUCUGUAGCUGGUCUGAGAGGACGACCAGCCACACUGGGACUGAGACACGGCCCAGACUCCUACGGGAGGCAGCAGUGGGGAAUUUUGGACAAUGGGCGAAAGCCUGAUCCAGCAAUGCCGCGUGUGUGAUGAAGGCCUUCGGGUUGUAAAGCACUUUUGGCGGGAACGAAAAGGACUGUGCCAAUACCACGGUUCGAUGGCGGUACCCGCAGAAUAAGCACCGGCUAACUACGUG